AUUGAACGCUGGCGGCAGGCCUAACACAUGCAAGUCGAGCGGAUGAAGGGAGCUUGCUCCUGGAUUCAGCGGCGGACGGGUGAGUAAUGCCUAGGAAUCUGCCUGGUAGUGGGGGAUAACGUCCGGAAACGGGCGCUAAUACCGCAUACGUCCUGAGGGAGAAAGUGGGGGAUCUUCGGACCUCACGCUAUCAGAUGAGCCUAGGUCGGAUUAGCUAGUUGGUGGGGUAAAGGCCUACCAAGGCGACGAUCCGUAACUGGUCUGAGAGGAUGAUCAGUCACACUGGAACUGAGACACGGUCCAGACUCCUACGGGAGGCAGCAGUGGGGAAUAUUGGACAAUGCGCGAAAGCCUGAUCCAGCCAUGCCGCGUGUGUGAAGAAGGUCUUCGGAUUGUAAAGCACUUUAAGUUGGGAGGAAGGGCAGUAAGUUAAUACCUUGCUGUUUUGACGUUACCAACAGAAUAAGCACCGGCUAACUUCGUG
rnacentral:rRNA from 1 species